rnacentral:rRNA from 1 species
AUUGAACGCUGGCGGCAUGCCUUACACAUGCAAGUCGAACGGCAGCACGGGAGCAAUCCUGGUGGCGAGUGGCGAACGGGUGAGUAAUAUAUCGGAACGUGCCCAGUCGUGGGGAUAACGUAGCGAAAGUUACGCUAAUACCGCAUACGAUCUAAGGAUGAAAGCGGGGGAUCGCAAGACCUCGCGCGAUUGGAGCGGCCGAUAUCAGAUUAGGUAGUUGGUGAGGUAAAGGCUCACCAAGCCAACGAUCUGUAGCUGGUCUGAGAGGACGACCAGCCACACUGGAACUGAGACACGGUCCAGACUCCUACGGGAGGCAGCAGUGGGGGAAUUUUGGACAAUGGGCGCAAGACCUGAUCCAGCAAUGCCGCGUGCAGGAUGAAGGCU